UACGUAGGGGGCAAGCGUUGUCCGGAAUCAUUGGGCGUAAAGCGCGCGUAGGCGGCCCGGUAAGUCCGCUGUAAAAGUCCAGGGCUCAACCCUGGAAAGCCGGUGGAUACUGUCGGGCUCGAGUCCGGAAGAGGCGAGUGGAAUUCCUGGUGUAGCGGUGGAAUGCGCAGAUAUCAGGAGGAACACCGAUGGCGAAGGCAGCUCGCUGGGACGGUACUGACUCUGAGGCGCGAAAGCGUGGGGAGCGAACAGG
rnacentral:rRNA from 1 species